UGCGGUCUGGCUAUGGUUGAACAGGUAAUGUAGAAAAUCACAUAGCUUGUCUGCACCGACCUUCUGGACUCUGGAGCUGCUUCUUCACCUGACUUCUGGAGACAAACAGGUAAGAGGUGGAAAUGAAGACGACGCCAACAUCUCCUGAUUUGGUUGCAGGCUGCAUACUUGGCACUCCUCAUCGAGCAGCUGGAGAUUUAAGGAGCUGUGAAUAGACCUAACAGAGUCAAGCCUUGACUAUCCCUCUGAAUGUUUUUCAACUCCUAUAAUCAUAGUGCGUCUCAGGUUAAAGAUUGGUUGUUGGCUUCUACCCUGGGUAUUUAUUGCAAGAACUCUCCAUGACAGACGUCUCUGGGAGGUUUCUCCAUGGUCGUCCACAGCGACUUUACCGUCUCUGGCAGCCACUGCCUGCCGCUCUCUGUUCAAACUUCAUCUGGAUGUCAAGCCUCCAUCAAUCCGUCGUAAUUGAACACCCUUGGAAGGAUUACUCACCUCAAAGGAACUCCCACCAGGCUCUUCGGUCAGAUGCUACUGUGCGAGAUGCUGCUGAAUCAUCUCACAGAAGCCCCCCUAAUCAUUCUAUCCUUCUCUUUUUCAUUGUAAAAUCCUUUUAUCUGAUUUUUCUUCUCCUGGUUUGAUUUUGCCUAUGGGUCAGAAACAUUUACGGAAAAAUGACACCCCAGUUGCAGAAUUUGCUAUUACCUAUAGCCAGCCCUGUUCUAAACGGAAAAUCUUAAAAAAAAAAAAGGCAAUGGUUAUUGGUGUUGCUAGUGCAUUUAUUUUCUGUCACACUUUUUCCUUCCACCCAACCUUCAAUUCACUUUGAUACAGCUAUCUGCCAGCUUAUUGAGUGCUGCGAUCAGACUGUCUGCUGGACAGCUGUCUAGCCAACAGUCUUCCCCAUGAUUGUGUAGGCCAUAACAUGACUAACAUGUCUGUAAUAAAACAUCUUAUAACAUCUUUUGUAAUAUUCAAAUUCCCUGGGAAUGAAUUUCACAAGCUGCAAAUCUUAGUCAUCAGCAAUAAAAGAAAAAAAAACUGCUUAAUAUGAA